rnacentral:rRNA from 1 species
AGGGUUUGAUCAUGGCUCAGGAUGAACGCUGGCGGCAGGCCUAAUACAUGCAAGUCGAGGGGUAACGGUUCUUUCGGGAAGCCGACGACCGGCGAAUGGGUGCGUAACGCGUAUAUAACUUGCCUCAAACUGGAGGAUAGCUCUACGAAAGUGGAAUUAAUACUGCAUAAUACUAUAAGAUCGCAUGGUUUAAUAGUUAAAGUUUCGAUGGUUUGAGAGAGGUAUGCGUGACAUUAGUUAGUUGGUAAGGUAACGGCUUACCAAGACAAUGAUGUCUAGGGGUUCUGAGAGGAUGAUCCCCCACACCGGAACUGAGACACGGUCCGGACUCCUACGGGAGGCAGCAGUAGGGAAUAUUGGUCAAUGGGCGAAAGCCUGAACCAGCCAUGCCGCGUGCAGGAUGAAGGCGCUNGUCGUUGUAAACUGCUUUUAUAUGGGAAGAAAGAGGCUUUGCGAAGCCAGUUGACGGUACCAUAUGAAUAAGCACCGGCUAACUCCGUGCCAGCCGCCGCGGUAAUAC